rnacentral:rRNA from 1 species
AUUGAACGCUGGCGGCAUGCCUAACACAUGCAAGUCGAACGAUGAUUUUCAGCUUGCUGAAAUGAUUAGUGGCGGACGGGUGAGUAAUGUAUAGGGAUCUGCCUGUUAGUGGGGGACAACAGCCGGAAACGGCUGCUAAUACCGCAUACGCUCUACGGAGGAAAGUGGGGGACCCUCGGGCCUCACGCUAACAGAUGAACCUAUAUUGGAUUAGCUAGUUGGUAGGGUAAAGGCCUACCAAGGCGACGAUCCAUAGCUGGUUGAGAGAAUGAUCAGCCACACUGGGACUGAGACACGGCCCAG